rnacentral:rRNA from 1 species
UAAUAGUGUAUAUUAAAGUUGUUGCAGUUAAAAAGCUCGUAGUUGAAUGUUGGUGUCGAACGAGCGGUCAGCUUCGGCUGUACUGCUCUCUCGACUCCUUCCUUCUGUGGACUACGUCGCACUUUACUGUGUGGCGCUAGGACGCAGAUCGUUUACUGUGAAAAAAUUAGAGUGUUCAAAGCAGGCCGUACGCUUGAAUACAUUAGCAUGGAAUAAUGGAAUAGGACGUCGGGCCUAUUUUGUUGGUUCUAGGACCGUCGUAAUGAUUAAUAGGGACAGUUGGGGCCGUUUAUAUUCCGUAGUCAGAGGUGAAAUUCUUGGAUUUACGGAAGAUGAACUACUGCGAAAGCAUUCGGCAAGGAUGUUUNCGUUA